GACGAACGCUGGCGGCGCGCUUAACACAUGCAAGUCGAACGGAAAGGCCUGCUUUCCCUUGUGGAUUGCGGGUACUCGAGUGGCGAACGGGUGAGUAACACGUGAGUGAUCUGCCCCCAACUUGGGUAUAAGCCUGGGAAACUGGGUCUAAUUCCCGAUAGGACUGCAGGGUGGUGCCUGUGGUGGAAAACGAUUUUCUAGUGGUUGGGGAUGAGCUCGCGGCCUAUCAGCUUGUUGGUGGGGUAAUGGCCUACCAAGGCGGCGACGGGUAGCCGGCCUGAGAGGGUGGACGGCCACAGUGGGACUGAGAUACGGCCCAGACUCCUACGGGAGGCAGCAGUGGGGAAUAUUACACAAUGGGCGGAAGCCUGAUGCAGCGACGCCGCGUGGGGGAUGACGGCCUUCGGGUUGUAAACUCCUUUCGACCGCGAGGAAGCCACCUGGUUGGAAGGGUGGUGACGGUAGUGGUAGAAGAAGCACCGGCUAACUACGUG
rnacentral:rRNA from 1 species